GAUGAACGCUGGCGGCGUGCCUAAUACAUGCAAGUCGAGCGAACAGACGAGGAGCUUGCUCCUCUGACGUUAGCGGCGGACGGGUGAGUAACACGUGGAUAACCUACCUAUAAGACUGGGAUAACUUCGGGAAACCUGAGCUAAUACCGGAUAAUAUAUUGAACCGCAUGGUUCAAUAGUGAAAGACGGUUUUGCUGUCACUUAUAGAUGGAUCCGCGCCGCAUUAGCUAGUUGGUAAGGUAACGGCUUACCAAGGCGACGAUGCGUAGCCGACCUGAGAGGGUGAUCGGCCACACUGGAACUGAGACACGGUCCAGACUCCUACGGGAGGCAGCAGUAGGGAAUCUUGCGCAAAGGGCGAAAGCCUGACGGAGCAACGCCGCGUGAGUGAUGAAGGUCUUCGGAUCGUAAAACUCUGUUAUUAGGGAAGAACAAAUGUGUAAGUAACUAUGCACGUCUUGACGGUACCUAAUCAGAAAGCCACGGCUAACUACGUG
rnacentral:rRNA from 1 species